rnacentral:lncRNA from 1 species
UGUCAUCUUUCUUCUGGCCCCAGCUGGAGAUCAGAACUCUCUGGCAAGUUCAGGGCCUGAUCAUGUUCGCUGUGAUGGGGGAGACACAGAAGGAUUUCACAAUGCGGAAUUUCACAAUUCCUAUAGUGACUCACUAGUGACUCACUGCAUGACUCCCUGGGUGCGUGGGUAUUCCACAGAGUUUUCCCACAGGACUCUCAGCCCAGCUCUGCUGUUCCUCCCAGCUCCUCCCUUAUCUACACUCCCAGCCUUCCCUUCUUGCCAUCCCCAUCUCUUUUUCUCAACUCUCUCUCUCUCUCUCUCUCUCUCUCUCUCUCUCUCUCCAUCAUGAGAAUUUUUUCUCUAUGAGUGUGUGUCUGUGUGUGUAUGGGUUUGUGCACUUGAAGGCCAGAAGUGGCCGUCAGAGCCUCCUGAAAUUGGAGUUCCAGGGGUCUGUGAGCCACCUAAUGUGGGUGCUGGGAACUGAACUCAUGACCUUUGGAAGAGCAAGGAGUGAUCUUAAAGGCUGGGUUGUAGCUCCAACCUUUUUUUUUUUUUUUUUUUUUUUUUUUUUUUUUUUGAGUCAGAUUCUCAGGUACCCCCAAACCAGCCUUAAACUUGCUGUGGAGACAAGAGUGACCUUGAACUCCUGAUCCUCCUGCCUUCACCUCCCAAGUGCUAGGAUUGCAGGCAUGAGUCACUACCUCUGUGUCAGGACGGAAAGGAGGGCUUCCUGUAAUCUAAGCCUCUGCAUGGAACUAUCUUUAGCUCCCUAUUUCUAGGAAGAUGACUUGGGUGGAAUUGUGUUUCGUUAAGGUAAACACAGAGUCACUGGAAAGGUUUGCUAUAAGCCUUUUCCCCAUAGAUGGAGUUUCUGGAGAGAGCCUGAGAAUUUCACAGGUGUCCCCGUGCCCCUCAAACUUGCCCUGCCUUUCCAUCCUGCCUCAGGAAAGACUGGAAUAGAGAAGCCCAGUGGCUGUCCAGACCCAGCCAGGCGUCUUGGAGGGUUUCCCAGAGGAAGAGCUGUGACCACUAUCUAACCAGCAUCUACCGAGCAAGAACAGAAGGGGAGAUUCCCAGGAAGCCUCGGGGAUGGGGAGCACCAGGGACGUGGGGUGGGUGGGGCCACCACCCUUCGUCACUCAGUCACUCAGUCUGUAGGGAGGAAACGACUGGACAGCUGGUGGCCUGAAGGCCCUGGUUAGUCACCAAGGGCGUAGUCCUUCAAGAGUGUGUUUCAUAUCCUCUCUGGGCUUUCAGAAGAAAGGAAGCCGGGGAGAAAGGACACUGUCACUGGGAAGGAAUGUGGAGAGAGUGAGCGGGCUCCUCGGAGCCGGACGCCUUCCUGGAGGAUGGGCAGGGGAGCUGUUCUGGAACUUUCCUCCUCGGCUGCAGAAAAGAAGACAAAAGGAUGGCUUGAACCCCUCAUCUUCCUGCCUCCACUUCCCAAGUGCUGGGUCUCCUCCAGAGCUUUGCAAGCCUCGGCAACCCAGCCCCAGCCCCAGCCUCCCUGGAUCUCUAUAGGGCCUACAGAAGCAGACCCUAACGCCGAGUGUCUAGCAAGGGGACACCGGGUGAGUGACAGUGGGAGCAGGACCUGGGCUUUACCCUACCACCCAGCUGAGCCUGAGGAGUCCCUUCAGACUUCCACUAAAGAGAAGACAGGAAGGUUUGGGCUUUUUUUUUUUUUUCUUUU